AUGUUGGCUCAGAAGCAGCCACUCAUUCAAAGAGUGCGUAAUAGCUCACUGGUCGAGCGUCUUUGCGCGGAGAAUUUAACGGGGCUAAACCUGACACCGAAGCUUAGGCAAUCCAGCAAUGGAUUGGGUAGGGGAGCGUUGUAUACGCGGAGAAACAGUAGCGUAAGCGGCUGUGGAGUGUAUAGAAGUGAGAAUGCCGGAAUGAGUAGCGCGAAUGCAGUGAGAAUCUGCAUGGCCGAAAGCCUCAGGUUUUUGGAGGAAGGUUCGUCCGCUCCAAGUUAGUCGGGAGCUAAGGUGAGGCCGGAAGGCGUAGCCGAUGCACAGACGGUAGAGAUUCCGUCACCACCGAAAGAGUUAAGCACAGGGACACAUUUGAAGUCUCAGAGCCGGGUGUUGGUUCCGGUAGAGAUCGAGGGAAAUUAGUACCGAAGUCUGGGAUGGAGGAUGGCGAGAAAAGCUGUGUGUAUUUCUGAGGUGCCCGUACCGCAAACCGACACAGGUAGGUAAGAAGAAGAUUCUAAGGCCAACGGGAGAAGGGUUGUUAAGGAACUCGGCAAAUUGACCCCGUAACUUCGGGAGAAGGGGUGCUCCAGAGAUGGAGCCGCAGAGAAUCGGCCCAAGCAACUGUUUACCAAAAACACAGGUUUGUGCUAAAUCGAAAGAUGACGUAUACGAGCUGACGCCUGCCCGGUGCUGGAAGGUUAAGAGGAGAUGUGCAAGCAUUGAAUCGAAGCCCCAGUGAACGGCGGCCGUAACUAUAACGGUCCUAAGGUAGCGAAAUUCCUUGUCAGGUAAGUUCUGACCCGCACGAAAGGCGUAAUGAUUUGGGCACUGUCUCAACAGCCCGCCCGGCGAAAUUGUAGUACCGGUGAAGAUGCCGGUUACCCGCGACAAGACGGAAAGACCCCAUGGAGCUUUACUGUAGCCUAAUAUUGGGUUUCGAUGUUGCAUGCACAGGAUAGAUGGGACACUAGGAAACAAUCGCUUUGGCGGUUGCGGAGUGGCCGUUGGGAUACCAUCCUUGCGAUAUUGGAAUUCUAACCUGCGGCUCUGAAUCGAGUCGGGGGACAUUGUUAGGUGGGCAGUUUGACUGGGGCGGUCGCCUCCUAAAAAGUAACGGAGGCGUUCAAAGGUUCGCUCAGCUUGAACGGAAAUCAAGCAAAAGAGUGCAAACGCAGAAGCGAGCCUAACUGCGAGACUGACGGGUCGAGCAGUAACGAAAGUUGGAGUUAGUGAUCCGGUGGUAUGUGAGUGGAAAUGCCAUCGCUCAACGGAUAAAAGUUACCCUGGGGAUAACAGGCUGAUCUCCCCCAAGAGUCCACAUCGACGGGGAGGUUUGGCACCUCGAUGUCGGCUCAUCGCAUCCUGGGGCUGUAUUCGGUCCCAAGGGUUUGGCUGUUCGCCAAUUAAAGCGGUACGCGAGCUGGGUUCAGAACGUCGUGAGACAGUUCGGUCCCUAUCCUCCGCAGGCGCAAGAGGAUUGAGGAGGUCUGCCCCUAGUACGAGAGGACCGGGGUGGACGGACCUCUGGUGCAGCAGUUGUCGACCAACGGCACGGCUGCCUAGCUACGUCCGGCACGGAUAACCGCUGAAAGCAUCUAAGUGGGAAGCCGUCUCCAAGAUGAGUCCUCUUUCCGGUAAGGGCCCAGGCAGAACACCUGGUCGAUAGGCCGCAGGUGCAAGG
rnacentral:rRNA from 1 species